GAGAGAGAGAGAGAGAGAGAGGGAGGGAGGGAGAGAGAGAGAGAGAGAGAGAGAGAGAGAGAGCGAUAUGUAGAUAGAAGAGGAUAACGUUUGCGGCACAUAUGCCUCCUUCUCCCCGCUCAUCUCGCAAAUCUAUUUUACUGAACGACACUUCCUCCAGCUGUUGCUUAUAGAAUAUGCGUAUUCGCUUUUCGAUGCGGUGCGGCUAUAUUUGUAGGUAUUCUGUGACAUGCAUACACGUGUGUACACUGUAUAUACAAAUUUUACACUCUGUUAUUUGUAUAGCUGGUGAAAGGAGGACGGAGAGCGGAAGGAAGAGAAAAAAGGCGCUGUAAGGCAAUAGAACAUUCAAAAGAUAAUUGUCAUGCAACUGGACUCAAGUCUACGUAUAAUACAUAUAGGGCAUAGACGAGUAAUGAGUACAUGCAUAAUACCCAUACAUGUAUCUAAUAAUGGUAAAUUUCGAGAAUGCGUAACCUGGUUGAAUCGAAACUGACCCCACCGCUGAAGGUUGGCACCGGCAGCCUCUAACGAAUGCCAGCAACGCGUCCAGCCAUUGUGGCGUGUGUUAUUCCAUUGAGCA
rnacentral:lncRNA from 1 species